UAGGGAAUCUUCCACAAUGGACGCAAGUCUGAUGGAGCAACGCCGCGUGAGUGAAGAAGGUUGUCGGAUCGUAAAGCUCUGUUGUUGGUGAAGAAGGAUAGAGGUAGUAACUGGCCUUUAUUUGACGGUAAUCAACCAGAAAGUCACGGCUAACUACGUGCCAGCAGCCGCGGUAAUACGUAGGUGGCAAGCGUUGUCCGGAUUUAUUGGGCGUAAAGCGAGCGCAGGCGGAAGAAUAAGUCUGAUGUGAAAGCCCUCGGCUUAACCGAGGAACUGCAUCGGAAACUGUUUUUCUUGAGUGCAGAAGAGGAGAGUGGAAUUCCAUGUGUAGCGGUGGAAUGCGUAGAUAUAUGGAAGAACACCAGUGGCGAAGGCGACUCUCUGGUCUGCAACUGACGCUGAGGCUCGAAAGCAUGGGUAGCGAACAGG
rnacentral:rRNA from 1 species